rnacentral:rRNA from 1 species
AGAAUCAACGCUGGCGGCGUGCCUAACACAUGCAAGUCGAACGAGAAAGUGGGAGCAAUCCCACGAGUAAAGUGGCGCACGGGUGAGUAACACGUGACUAACCUACCCUUGAGUGGGGGAUAACCUAGGGAAACCUGGGCUAAUACCGCAUAAUGCCUACGGGUCAAAGGAGCAAUUCGCUUUAGGAGGGGUCGCGGCAGAUUAGUUAGUUGGCGGGGUAAUGGCCCACCAAGACAGUGAUCUGUA